rnacentral:lncRNA from 1 species
UAUCUACAAAGUUUCAUGAAAUUCUGUUGUGUGGUUUGAGAGGAGUUGUGAUGACAAACUGUUGCAGUAGUACAUUAAAGUAAACAAGUAAUCCUGUGUUAGGAUGCUAACACAAAAGUCACCAAAACGGACCCCAAAUCGUUUGUUCUGCGGUAUCAAUGAUGCCAAAUUACCUAUGUGUAAAGUUUCAUUAAAUCGAAUGGAUUUUGAUAUUUUAACAUUUUUGCCGUUUCCAUGGUUACGGCGGCCAUUUUGGAAAUUUUGAGGUCAAAAGUAAUGUCCACAUAUGGUAGGCAACAUUUGUUUUAAGUUUCAUCAAUUUUGAAGCAUUUUGAAAUUUUUGGACAUUUUUGCUGUUUCCAUGGCAACGGCGGCCAUUUUGAAAAUUCCAAACUCAAAAGUUUAGUCUACAUACAUUAGGCAACAUUUGCUAUAAGUUUCAAUAAUUUUGAAGCAUUUUGAAGUUUUUCAUAUUUUUGCUGUUUCCAUGGUAACGGGGGCCAUUUUGAAUAUUCCAAAGUCCAACCCCCACUGUAAUGUGUUCCCUCCAUAAUUAUAUACAAUCAUGUACCAUUUAAUGUCUCUAGAACUAAUUUGACAUUGAUGUUCUGGAAUGUUCCAUAAAAAUUCACCCCCCUAAAAUUAUGCCAAGGAGAGAGACCCCCUACUGAAAUAAAAUUAGUUCCAAGUUGAAGCUGACAUGUGUCUCUAAAUAUUCAUAAAAGAAAAUAUAAUACCAUCUACUCUAUUUACAGCAGAAAAUUGAUGAAAUGCAAAAAAAAAUUGACCCCACCCAUCUUUGAGCCCCCCUAAUUAUGCCAAGAUGACACCCUGGUAUCAUGGACAUUGGGUUCUGCAACCCCCAUGAUGCAGACCUAUACCCAGAAUAAAUAUAAACUUUCCAUCCUGUACUGCUUCCCAAAAAAUGGUAGGACAGUUUAAGGGGUCAGAAAGAGAAGAAUAAGAAUAAUAAUAAUAAGAAACGAUACAAAAACAAUAAGUCGCCAAAAACUCCGUUUUGGUGACUUAAUAAG